CAGAGAUGAAAGUUUUUCCUGUCGAACCCUGAGCCUGCCAAGAAAAUGAGGAUCAACAGAAAGACAGGGUGGCCAUUGUGCAGCUCACCGGCUUUCUCUCCCUGAAAGAAAUCAAUCAUGUGGAUGUCAACAUUUAGACAGAUGAGACAAGACUGGAAACUGCUGUUUCACCAAGCAACGAAGACCCACAUAUGGAGGUUUCAGACAUAUAAAUGGUAGACCAGACUUCCUGUGUCAUUCACAGUAUUUUUGUAACUUUCUUAUAUGCCAAAUGAACAAACUGCAGAAAAGACGACUGAUUCAUAAAUCCCACCGUUCAACAAAGAUCUAAAGUGCUUCUUGUUGGGCGUCUUGCAGGCCGUGAAGUUUUUUGGCCUUUGUUUCAACUUCCUGUUUUUGCAGCGUAAAUCCAAACUGCUAUACUUACAUAGUACUUAUUGAGUUCCGAAAUGCUCUCGUCCAGGUUUUCAGAGACGCUGGUCUCGCACAUCAUCCAUUGACAAGUCAGCAAACACAUUCCUAAGAAAAACGGCGUCA